ensembl:lncRNA
AUAGGAAAGUUAUUGGAUGACUUAAGAGGACCACAGAAAUAUUUCGAUUUAAGCAAAAAAUAAAAUUUUUGGCACUAGAUGUUAGAUUUGAAAUGAUGAGUCAUUGUUUAUUAUUGAUGGCUGUCUGAUCCUCCUUUCCUUUUGGAUAUGGAUGAACACUGACACUUGGUACAAAUUCCCUGUGAUUUGUGGAAUCUCAUAUUCACAAAGUGGUUACCAUGAUCUUUCUAGAAUUUUGAUGUGUAAGGUACUGACGGCCAUGUACAGCUGCAACUGUAACUUGCUUGUUAACAUCACAUGAGCAUAAAGGGUGUCAGCUGGGCACAGGUGUUUUACUACUAACAGUUUUUUUUUCUUGAAAUGUCUUUCUCUGUUACCUCUACUGAUAAACUGAUAACAAAGUAAGUUUCUUCACUCUGUUCUCUUACCUGAAAAUAUAUCUCUUUGUGAACUUUGUGCCUUUUGGUAAAACUCUCAGUGCACAAAAGGAACAGGGUUUCUUUUUGGAUGUCACAGUCUACAAGUGGGAGCUACCCUUCUACUGCUACAAUGAGACGAAAUCUUUUUUUUUUUUAACUGUGCCAUUUUAUUGGCAACACUAAACAUUUUCAGAAGGCCUCUGUUGUUUUCUCUUGUUCUCUAAGAACUUUUUUUUCCCCAAGUGGAGGAUGAUUGUUUCAUUCUUUUUAAGAUUUUGAUUAUUUUAUUCUUGAUUUCCUUUCAUGCAAAACAGCAUCUUUCAGUGGCCGCUAAGAGCACACUCUGUUUUCUUUGUGGAAAGAAUGCAAAGGAUGAGUGAACGUUGGGUUCAAUGGGGUCUUGAACACAGCUUGGCUCCCAGCAGGUCUACACAUUCUGAUGACUACAAAUGGGUACAUUUUGGGUUUCUGUGAUGUUUCAAAAAUACAAUUAUAUAAUUAUAUGAUGUGAAACUCUUUAAGAAUUCAACUAAUAGGGCUUCCCUGGUGGUGCCGUGGUUAAGAAUCCACCUGCCAAUGCAGGGGACACGGGUUUGAGCCCUGGUCCAGGAAGAUCCCGCAUGCUGCAGAGCAACUAAGCCUGUGCACCACGACUACUGAGCCUGCAUGACUAGAGCCUGUGCUCCACAAGAGAAGCCACUGCAAUGGGAAGCCCACAUACUGCAACAAAGAGUAGCCCCCACUUGCCGCAACUAGAGAAAGCCCGCAUGCAGCAACGAAGACCCAACACAGCCAAAAAUAAAUAAAUAAUUUAAAGAAAGAAUUCAACUAUAAAAGCUGUAAUCAGUUAACCUCUGCUUGGGGCUGCUAUAGCCAAUAGUAUAAUGUGACAGGUAAUUAGCUAAAUAGAGAUAAUUUUUCCACAUGAUGUUUAAUUUGCAGUAUUUCCCCCCAUAACUUUAACAAAUAGACAUUUUCCAAGUAAAGCGCACUUUAUUUGGGUCCAUGUUGCUAGACCUCCGUCAAGUCUAGAGAGCGCCUUCCUGGUUCCUUCAGUUAUCAUUGCCUUCCUAGCAUAGUAGCAAAAUGAAUUUCACCUGCAAAUGGUGUUUUUUUUUCAAAGUAAUGAUUUUUCUAAAUAGAGUACAGUUAUCUUCCAGAGAUGUAAAAGAGUGACCAUAUAAUUACCGUUUCACUCUGUGAUACGUCUAAAACAUGGAUACCAAUAGCGUGCUGUUACUCUGGAGGAAGUAAUAGGUUAGAAAGACAGUUGAGUGUUUUACUCAAGCUGUGAGUGAAUAGAGAGAGAUAGGAGAUGCUAUUCAACUCACAGUCCCACGUAUUAGUGCUCUGUGUAAGAUGCACAUUUAUUAUCUUAUUGACACAGACUGAAAGAGAUAUCAGAGUAAUGUAUCAUGGUUAUACAGGCACAGCCUGUCCCUACCUAUUACCUGAAAACCCAGUUCUAAGAAAUGAUUCAUGGUUAUUAUCUGCUAGGAGGGCGAACAAAAGUUGAGUAUGACAUCUUUAUUUCAUCGGAGACAUUACAUCUCUAUGAGACUUAUGUAUAGCCCUAGAUAUUUUCAAGCUAUAGGAGGAAAAAGAAAUUAAAAAAAAAUUUCUGAAAGAUAGUUUUAAGUAAACGUUUUGUAUUUUGAACUGUUUGUGCCAUGCAUAUAGCAUUGACUAUAUACAGGUAAAAUAUUCUACUUUUUCAUAAAGAAAAGUUUUUUCCUCUUUUAUAAAAAUCAUAGCUUAUACUUUAAAAUGUAUUUUUGAGAUUGAAUUUGGAAAUUUAUUAAUAUGUGUAAUUACAAAUUAUAUUUUGAUACAUUGUUUAAAAAUGUAAUAUUUACUGUAUUUCUACUUAUAAUGUAUACAUCUUCAUGUAUUGAUCAAAAUAAAUUAUUUGUAAAGCUAUCAUAACUUUAUAUUUCUUAUAUUUAAAAUAGAACUCCUCAAAUAAAAUAUCGUUUUCAUGG